rnacentral:lncRNA from 13 species
UUAUUCGCGAGUGUUCCGCGAGUGCAACAAAAGGAGGCUUAACAAUUUAAGAGUAGGUCUGUGAAGCAUCGUGCAUUGACGUACCAAGCUUUCGAUUAACAUCACAGAAUCUAGGAGGUGCAGGAAGCUUGAGAGAAGCAUCGGGCCUCAGCGGAGCAACCUUGGGUAUCAUCGCAGCUUCGUAGCUGAUUAACUCCGC